rnacentral:rRNA from 1 species
GGUAAUGCCGGAUGCUCCAUCACACCGCAUGGUGUGUUGGGAAAGCCUUUGCGGCAUGGGAUGGGGUCGCGUCCUAUCAGCUUGAUGGCGGGGUAACGGCCCACCAUGGCUUCGACGGGUAGCCGGCCUGAGAGGGCGACCGGCCACAUUGGGACUGAGAUACGGCCCAGACUCCUACGGGAGGCAGCAGUGGGGAAUAUUGCACAAUGGGCGCAAGCCUGAUGCAGCGACGCCGCGUGAGGGAUGGAGGCCUUCGGGUUGUAAACCUCUUUUGUUAGGGAGCAAGGCACUUUGUGUUGAGUGUACCUUUCGAAUAAGCACCGGCUAACUACGUGCCAGCAGCCGCGGUAAUACGUAGGGUGCAAGCGUUAUCCGGAAUUAUUGGGCGUAAAGGGCUCGUAGGCGGUUCGUCGCGUCCGGUGUGAAAGUCCAUCGCUUAACGGUGGAUCCGCGCCGGGUACGGGCGGGCUUGAGUGCGGUAGGGGAGACUGGAAUUCCCGGUGUAACGGUGGAAUGUGUAGAU